ACACAUGCAAGUCGAACGGAAGUUAGAGCUUCGGUUUUAACUUUAGUGGCGAACGGGUGAGUAACGCGUGAGGAACCUGCCUUUCAGUGGGGGACAACAGUUGGAAACGACUGCUAAUACCGCAUGACACUUUUGGGGGACAUCCCUUAAAAGUCAAAGCUUUAUGUGCUGAAAGAUGGCCUCGCGUCUGAUUAGCUGGUUGGUGAGGUAACGGCUCACCAAGGCGACGAUCAGUAGCCGGUCUGAGAGGAUGAACGGCCACAUUGGGACUGAGAUACGGCCCAGACUCCUACGGGAGGCAGCAGUGGGGAAUAUUGGGCAAUGGGGGAAACCCUGACCCAGCAACGCCGCGUGAAGGAAGAAGGCCUUCGGGUUGUAAACUUCUUUUACCAGGGACGAAGGACGUGACGGUACCUGGAGAAAAAGCAACGGCUAACUACGUGCCAGCAGCCGCGGUAAUACGUAGGUUGCAAGCGUUGUCCGGAUUUACUGGGUGUAAAGGGCGUGUAGGCGGAGAUGCAAGUUGGGAGUGAAAUCCAUGGGCUCAACCCAUGAACUGCUCUCAAAACUGUAUCCCUUGAGUAUCGGAGAGGCAAGCGGAAUUCCUAGUGUAGCGGUGAAAUGCGUAGAUAUUAGGAGGAACACCAGUGGCGAAGGCGGCUUGCUGGACGACAACUGACGCUGAGGCGCGAAAGCGUGGGGAGCAAACAGGAUUAGAUACCCUGG
rnacentral:rRNA from 1 species